GCCAGCCCGCUCAGUCAGUAGUUUGAUCCGUGGCUCAGGACGAACGCUGGCGGCGUGCUUAACACAUGCAAGUCGAACGGAAAGGCCCUGCUUUUGUGGGGUGCUCGAGUGGCGAACGGGUGAGUAACACGUGGGUAAUCUGCCCUGCACUCUGGGAUAAGCCUGGGAAACUGGGUCUAAUACUGGAUAUGACCUUUCUCCUUAUGGGGUUUGGUGGAAAGUUUUUCGGUGUAGGAUGAGCCCGCGGCCUAUCAGCUUGUUGGUGGGUGAUGGCCUACCAAGGCGACGACGGGUAGCCGGCCUGAGAGGGUGAUCGGCCACAUUGGGACUGAGAUACGGCCCAG
rnacentral:rRNA from 1 species